rnacentral:rRNA from 1 species
AUAAGCCCACGGGUCGGCAUCGACCAGAGGGAAAAGGAGCAAUCCGCUUUGAGAUGGCCUCGCGUCCGAUUAGCUAGUUGGUGAGGUAACGGCCCACCAAGGCGACGAUCGGUAGCCGGACUGAGAGGUUGAACGGCCACAUUGGGACUGAGACACGGCCCAGACUCCUACGGGAGGCAGCAGUGGGGAAUAUUGCACAAUGGGGGAAACCCUGAUGCAGCGACGCCGCGUGGAGGAAGAAGGUCUUCGGAUUGUAAACUCCUGUUGUUGAGGAAGAUAAUGACGGUACUCAACAAGGAAGUGACGGCUAACUACGUGCCAGCAGCCGCGGUGAAACGUAGGUCACAAGCGUUGUCCGGAAUUACUGGGUGUAAAGGGAGCGCAGGCGGGAAGACAAGUUGGAAGUGAAAUCCAUGGGCUUAACCCAUGAACUGCUUUCAAAACUGUUUUUCUUGAGUAGUGCAGAGGUAGGCGGAAUUCCCGGUGUAGCGGUGGAAUGCGUAGAUAUCGGGAGGAACACCAGUGGCGAAGGCGGCCUACUGGGCACCAACUGACGCUGAGGCUCGAAAGUGUGGGUAGCAAACAGGAUUAGAUACCCUGGUAGUCCACACCGUAAACGAUGAUUACCAGGUGUUGGAGGAUUGACCCCUUCAGUGCCGCAGUUAACACAAUAAGUAAUCCACCUGGGGAGUACGACCGCAAGGUUGAAACUCAAAGGUAUUGACGGGGGCCCGCACAAGCAGUGGAGUAUGUGGUUUAAUUCGACGCAACGCGAAGGACCUUACCAAGUCUUGACAUCCGUUGACCGACAUAGAAAUAUGUUUUUCCUUCGGGACAGCGAGACAAGUGGUGCAUGGUUGUCGUCAGCUCGUGUCGUGAGAUGUUGGGUUAAGUCCCGCAACGAGCGCAACCCUUAUGGUCAGUUACUACGCAAGAGGACUCUGGCCAGACUGCCGUUGACAAAACGGAGGAAGGUGGGGAUGACGUCAAAUCAUCAUGCCCUUUAUGACUUGGGCUACACACGUACUACAAUGGCGUUAAACAAAGAGAAGCAAGACCGCGAGGUGGAGCAAAACUCAGAAACAACGUCCCAGUUCGGACUGCAGGCUGCAACUCGCCUGCACGAAGUCGGAAUUGCUAGUAAUCGUGGAUCAGCGUGCCACGGUGAAUACGUUCCCGGGCCUUGUACACACCGCCCGUCACACCAUGAGAGCCGGGGGGACCCGAAGUCGGUAGUCUAACCGCAAGGAGGACGCCGCCGAAGGUAAAACUGGUGAUUGGGGUGAAGUCGUAACAAGGU